UCUGGGCCACCAUCAUGUGGUGUACAUCAUGAUCACCAUCAGUAAACUUGGAACAUCACUGAAUUCCAAGAUCAAAAGAAACCUUAAAGAAAUGAAUGAGGCAACAUGUAGCCUAUUUUCUACCAGUGAGCAACUUACAUCCAUGAUGAAGCCAACACUGUUAUCAGAAGAGAGACAAAAGGAACUUGGAUCCUUGAUCACAUCGCUGAACUGGAUGAACCAGUCCUGACACACACUUCCAAGCGUACGUAUCUCUUCAGUGAAGUCCAAGGGCUGUGCAACAGGAUGCUUCCACUUGGGCAUCUGGUCAUCACCUCAAGCGUAUAAUCCUGUACAGCAGAGAUGGAUUUUUCUGAGAUCAAGGAGAAAGGACAGAUGGGACCAAUGACAUUGACCUUGGAGAUAGUUUUAAAUUGCUCAUUGACAUUCUCACUGCGUGCUUGUUGAGGCAAUUAGUCUUCAGUCUGUAUAAGUAUAGGUGAUUAGAUUUCCUAAUAAGGACUGGUUAAGAAAGAUUAAAUCACUCAA